UUUAUAACAAGGAAGCACUACUUUACUUUUCAGGAUCUCGUUGGGGUUCUAGUUUUAUAUUCAGUCAUACACAUGACAUCUAGUAAUAUUUCACUCUGAAACCCUAACCAAGAUUCUUAUUGCUUGUUAAAGUAUCAUUGUAUAUUUGAUCCUAAACACUAAACCUAAACUCUACACCCUAAAUCCUAAAACCGAAAAUCCAACCCCUAAACCCUAACCCCUGAACCAUAAAUCCUAAACCCAAAACCGUAAACCCUAAACCCUAAAACCUUAAACCUAAACCCUAAACCCUAAACCAUAGAUCCCAAACUUUAAAACCUAAAUAAUA
rnacentral:sRNA from 1 species